rnacentral:lncRNA from 1 species
AUGAGAACAUCGAAAACACUGCAUGGCGAUCAGCAGCAGCUCUCGCCGGAAAAGUACAUCUUUCAAUAUUCAGGCCUUCCUUCCCAGCGGUUGAAACAUGGCGUCUUGAGAACAAAGCACAAACUUGUGCCAAAGAGAGACACAAGAGGAUUAGCUUACUCCAACACCCCCCCCCCCAACAACAGCAACAACCAUUCUGGGGAGAUGUCAAAGGCUUGUCAUCCCUGUGACCAGUCACUUCUCCGAUUGAAAUUCUUGGUCGUGAUGAUGAAAUGUUUAAUACAUUCGGGUUAUUUGCAGAGUUUGCUUUGGCUUUUAAGGCCUCUUUUCCAGGCAACAUUUUCUGAGCUGGUUCUCCUCCCUCCACUCCCAAGUCACCUGGCUUAUUCUCAUCUAGAAAUGUACACUAAUUCUAAGGAUGAAGUCUAAAUGCCACGGCCUCCUUCAAGAUCCUUGGGUCCUCUAUCUACCUUUCCAAGAAGAUCCUUCUUUCUUCCCUUAGCAAACCUUCUAGUCAGGCCAGGAUGGUCCACUUACUGUCAUUAUGUUAUAAUCUGCCCCAUGCAUUGUGGUUAUUCCUGUCUCUGAACCUCUGGACUUCUCUCCCUACCUGGAAUGAACUCUCUACUUUCUCUCUGUCUCACUUCUAUCUAUUCUUAAAAACUCAAUUCAAUUCUCACCAUCUUCAUGAAAGUCCAACCUUGACCAUGUCAAGCUCCCACUGAACUUAUUUUCUUAUACUGAACUUAAUAAGCUUUGCUGCUAUACUCUGAUGCUGAGCUUGCAUGGUCUUGACUCAGCAUUUAAGAUUUCUCUGAGUAUAUUUUAUCUUCUCACUUGGAUUGCAUGCUAUUCAGGAGUAUAGAGAUAGCUAAUGUUAGACUUCUG